rnacentral:rRNA from 1 species
CCUACGGGUGGCUGCAGUGGGGAAUUUUCCGCAAUGGGCGAAAGCCUGACGGAGCAAUACCGCGUGAGGGAGGAAGGCUCUUGGGUCGUAAACCUCUUUUCUCAGGGAAGAAGCAAUGACGGUACCUGAGGAAUCAGCAUCGGCUAACUCCGUGCCAGCAGCCGCGGUAAUACGGAGGAUGCAAGCGUUAUCCGGAAUGAUUGGGCGUAAAGCGUCCGCAGGUGGCACAUCAAGUCUGCUGUCAAAGCCCCCAGCUUAACUGGGAAGAGGCGGUG